rnacentral:lncRNA from 1 species
GGGGCCUGGAGCAGAUGCAUCAGAGGGGGCUCAGUGAGGAGGCUGGUAAGUUGAGGGUGGCUGUUGGUUAGGGCGUGGAGCUCAGUUCCUUCCCACCUGGGGCCUUUCUGACUGCUGUUUGAACUGUUUACUUUAUAGGUCCAAUUUUUGGCCAGGGAAGCACAAGAGAAUGGUUUUUCACAACACCCAGGACUGGAUCCCUACCCAACUCCACAUAUUCACCAAAUUUUUCCUGAGAUUCCUGUUUGUCUGUCCUACCAGUUCACACUGUCCUUGAAGGCUGGUGUCUCCGUGUUCCUGCCAGGUCAGGUUUCAACCCAGUGGUAUUGAAUGUGUUGUCAUUUAAUUCAGAACAAUUCUGAGUAGAACUGAGAUUUAAAUUGGUAAGUGUUUGACUACAAAACAAACACCUCUAACUACUAAGCUAUUAAUACCCCCUUGUUU